CUUCCCCACCUCCUAGGCACUACUGUACUUGAUUGCUAUAGUUCAAGCUAAUGGAGAAGCCAGUUUUGUUUAUGCAGUUGGGGAUAUAUUUGCCAGCUGUGCUAUGGAUGGCACUCAGAUCUUGCAUAGCUGGGAAAAUAGCCUGGGAUUCCCACUAAUAACCAUCAUGCUCAACCAAAGCAUAGGCAGGAGGAUUGUAACAACAGCAUUUUUCACCACUGCAGUAUCAAUACCAUCU